UAGGGAAUAUUGGACAAUGGGCGAAAGCCUAAUCCAGCAAUACCGCGUGAAUGAUGAAGGUCUUAGGAUUGUAAAGUUCUUUCGGUGGGGAAGAUAAUGACGGUACCCACAGAAGAAGCACCGGCUAACUUCGUGCCAGCAGCCGCGGUAAUACGAAGGGUGCUAGCGUUAUUCGGAAUCACUGGGCGUAAAGAGUGUAAAGGCGGUUAGAUAAGUCAGUUGUGAAAGCCCUGAGCUUAACUCAGGAAUUGCGAUUGAAACUAUCUUGCUAGAGUAUAGUAGGCGAUGGCGGAAUUCUUAGUGUAGGGGUGAAAUCCGUAGAUAUUAAGAGGAACACCGGUGGUGAAGACGGCUAUCUUGACUAUAACUGACGCUACAACACGAAGGUAUGGGUAGCAAACAGG
rnacentral:rRNA from 2 species